UACGUAGGGGGCAAGCGUUAUCCGGAUUUACUGGGUGUAAAGGGAGCGCGGGUGGCAUGGCAAGCCAGAAGUGAAAACCCGGGGCUUAACCCCGCGGAUUGCUUUUGGAACUGUCAGGCUGGAGUGCAGGAGGGGCAGGCGGAAUUCCUGGUGUAGCGGUGAAAUGCGUAGAUAUCAGGAGGAACACCGGUGGCGAAGGCGGCCUGCUGGACUGUAACUGACACUGAGGCUCGAAAGCGUGGGGAGCAAACAGG
rnacentral:rRNA from 1 species